rnacentral:pre_miRNA from 14 species
UUUCAUGUAUAUGAGUACACUGUGGCUGCCCUCAGACACACCAGUGAAAGACCCCCGGAGCGGGGAGACCCUCACUCAAGUCUCGGGAUGACGCGACCCCCCCAAGAACUCACACAAGACC